rnacentral:rRNA from 1 species
UACGUAGGGUGCAAGCGUUGUCCGGAAUUACUGGGCGUAAAGAGCUCGUAGGCGGUUUGUCGCGUCGUCUGUGAAAACUCGAGGCUCAACCUCGAGCUUGCAGGCGAUACGGGCAGACUUGAGUACUGCAGGGAGACUGGAAUUCCUGGUGUAGCGGUGAAAUGCGCAGAUAUCAGGAGGAACACCGGUGGCGAAGCGGUCUCUGGACGUACUGACGCUGAGGCGCGAAGCGUGGGAGCAAACAGG